GAUUUUAUAUACAAAAUAGAGUACUAAAAUAAAUAAAUAAUUAGAAAGAUCUUGCCUGAAUCGAGGCGUGUGAAAUACUAUCCUAAAAAUAUGAUUCGCCCCCUACAUGUGGAUCUUUGAUGAUUUCAUUCCUAAGAUAUAACGACCUGGCUCAGUCCAAUCCUCUUCUAAUGAGCAUGACUGUUGGAAAGUCUGACUCAAGAGAUUUCCUUCAUAUGCCUAAAUAGAAGAAAGAGAAGAAAAAAGGAAAAAAAUAGUCUCUGUCUUAGAAAGAAAUAGACAAAAAUAGAACAUAAGAAGAGAUUGAGAGUUUUUAUUAUUUUCAAACAGCC
rnacentral:lncRNA from 1 species